rnacentral:rRNA from 1 species
GCUAAACGCGAAGAACCUUACCAGGGCUUGACAUCCCUUUGACCGGAUUAGAGAUAGUCCUUUCCCUUCGGGGCAGAGGAGACAGGUGGUGCAUGGUUGUCGUCAGCUCGUGUCGUGAGAUGUUGGGUUAAGUCCCGCAACGAGCGCAACCCUUGAACUUAGUUGCCAGCACUUUGGGUGGGCACUCUAGGUUGACUGCCGGUGACAAACCGGAGGAAGGCGGGGAUGACGUCAAAUCAUCAUGCCCCUUAUGGCCUGGGCUACACACGUACUACAAUGGCCGGUACAACGGGUCGCGAAGCCGCGAGGCGGAGCCAAUCCCAGCAAAGCCGGUCUCAGUUCGGAUUGCAGGCUGCAACUCGCCUGCAUGAAGUCGGAAUUGCUAGUAAUCGCAGAUCAGCAUUGCUGCGGUGAAUACGUUCCGGGUCUUGUACACACCG